AAUUUCAGGGCCGUUGUCGCCUCCGCGCGGCCCGCCGGCCCCGCGGGGACUGGGACUCUAGAGACGCGCCGCCAACCCCGCCGCCAUUCACCCUGUCAUUGCGGGGGAGAGAAUAGAAUAAAGACGCCUAUUCCUGGGAAACUUAGCUCAGACAAAUAAUGCAAACAAUUGCAUCCAUCAUCAGCCACAUCAGCCUUAGGAGAUACAUCCAUAUCAUGAGAAAACACUACCUGAAAUUGGGGACCACUGGAGGAUUAAAGAACAAGGAGAUGGCUGGCUAUUUAAGAAGGAAAGGCAAAGGCUGCAGAAAUUGAGCCUAAUGGCUUAUCAGAUGGGAUGGAUAAUUCUUUAAGUUUAAAAGAACUACUCAUUUUCUCCAAUAUCUGUCUUUGCCAUCUUCCUAUCUAAGGAACCUUUCACUUUUUAGCCAGGGACAUAGAUUUCUGGUAUGAGAACUACACUGCUCAACCUUCCAUUCAGCUUGUAUGCACUUGGUGAAUCUUACCUACCACAAACAGGAAGUCUGGAAAGUGAAAAUUUAUUUCCUUUUCACCAUCACCAGCCUUGUUCAGAACAUCUGAGAGGCACAGACCUGAGAAACAAUCCCCAGGUUGAAGAGGUAGAAGUUGGCGGAAGUUAAAAGCAAUGUCUCCACAAUGGAGAAGUGACAUGCUAAAGGAACCUGGCAUCCAGACAUUUCCUAACCCCCAACCCCUCCUUACAUAUGACCUACUCUUAGAGGAGUACAGCGUGGUGGUUAGGAGUAUGGACUCGGCAGCCAGAUAUCCUGGGAUCUGUUGCUUGUUAGCUGUGGGCCUUAAGCUAAGAACUUAACCUCUCUGUGCCUCAGUUGCUCCAUCUGUUAAAAUGAAGAUAACGAUAAUGAAGAUGAUAUCACCUGCUGUGUAGGAUUGUUAUGAAAAAUCAAGAGUUAAUAUUUGUAAAUCACUUACAGGGUCUGGCACAUAAUAAGUGCUGUGUGGGUGUUUGUUAAAUAAAAUAACAUACAAUGGCA